rnacentral:rRNA from 1 species
UACGGGGGGGGCAAGCGUUGUUCGGAAUUACUGGGCGUAAAGGGCGCGUAGGUGGCCAACUAAGUCAGACGUGAAAUCCCUCGGCUUAACCGGGGAACUGCGUCUGAUACUGGAUGGCUUGAGUUUGGGAGAGGGACGCGGAAUUCCAGGUGUAGCGGUGAAAUGCGUAGAUAUCGGGAGGAACACCAGUGGCGAAGGCGACUACCUGGCCUGUUCUUGACGCUGAGGCGCGAAAGCUAGGGGAGCAAACGGG